AGUAACACGUGGAUAACCUACCUAUAAGACUGGGAUAACUUCGGGAAACCGGAGCUAAUACCGGAUAAUAUUUUGAACCGCAUGGUUCAAAAGUGAAAGACGGUCUUGCUGUCACUUAUAGAUGGAUCCGCGCUGCAUUAGCUAGUUGGCAAGGUAACGGCUUACCAAGGCAACGAUGCAUAGCCGACCUGAGAGGGUGAUCGGCCACACUGGAACUGAGACACGGUCCAG
rnacentral:rRNA from 1 species